CCAUGCCGCGUGAGUGAUGAAGGCCCUCGGGUUAGUAAAACCCUUUCACGGGGACGAUAAUGACGGUACCCGUAGAAGAAGCUCCGGCUAACUUCGUGC
rnacentral:rRNA from 1 species